rnacentral:sRNA from 1 species
GCCGGGUCUAGGCUGAUCCCCGAAAAGGCAGACCCUUCACCGCCCUGGCCCGGCACCUUUUUGAAGG